UCAUAGGCCUUUUUGUACGUUUAAAAAAAAAAAAAAAAAAAAAAAACACGUACACAUGCAUACACACACUCAGACACGAUAUCACCAUAACUCGCUCAUAUUAAGAUAGUAACAAACACGAUGAAAGUUGAAAAAAACAGGACAGUACAAGUUACUAAAAAUGUAAAAUUAAGUUACAAAAAAAGGUACUGUUUCGUUAUAAUAGUACUUUUAUUAGCAAUAAGUAGCAGUAGUAGUAGUAGUAGUAGUAGCAGUUGUAGUAGCAGUUGUAGUAGCAGUUGUAGUAGCAGUUGUAGUAGCAGUCGUAAUGGCAAUACAUAUGUGUUAAACAGACAUGUUGUACACGGGUACAUCGUCUUUAAUAGUAAACUCGAAUCUAGUCGUAGCAGCUGCAAUCGAUUGUAUGUAUCAAAACCAGCACAAAAAAAAAGUAAUCUACUAAAAAGUAAAAUAAUUAUAAAUAAAAGAAAAAAAGAAGAAAACGAAAAGAAGAAAGCAAAUAUGUUAAACGACUUUAAAUUUUCACCAAAAUAUAAAAUAAUAGAAGAUAUAAUAAAAGAACCAUAUCCAUAUAAAUUGCCAACAGAAGAUAAUAACAAUAUAUUAAAAGAAUUACAAAAAGAACCUUUUUUAUUUUUAAAAAAUAAAAUAAAAAAAGAAUUUUUAAAUGGAUAUGAACUACCAUUUGGUUUUAUAAAUCCAGUCAAGUAUGAAUUAUUUAAAUUAAUUGGACGUAUAUGUGAUCCUUUUAAAAAUUUAUGUUCUUAUUCUUUAACACCUAAAUUGUUUAUAGAUAAACUUUUUAAAAAUAAAUAUGAAAUAACAUAUGAUAGUUUUUGUUAUCAUAUAGAAUAUAAAUUAAAAUUUUUAAUACCUUCUUAUACAGAAUUAUUUAAAUAUGAAAAGGAAUUAUUAUGGCAACAGUGGAUAGUCGUAAGACAACUUAAUGAAACGUCACCAGUUACUGGAUUAGAUAAUCAUGAAAGAAUAAACAAACUUUUAGAUGAAAAUGAAACAACGUUACCUAUAGUUAUUAACAAAGUUAAUCGAGAAAUUAGCAAUCAAGGUAUUCAUCCAGCCAUACUAGAAAUGUUUUUUCAUUUUUUAAACAUAGGAACAGAUAAAGAUAUUUUAAAAAGAGAUCAUGCUUUUUUAAAAUUAGAAACAAUAUACAAACGAAUAAAAAAUAAAGACUAUUUGGAAGGUAUACGACCAGACUAUUUAUAUAUCAUGUUAAACAAAAAAGCAAAUAACUAUUACAACAAUUUUGAUCCAAAACAGUAUGAACAGUUGUAUUACCAACCAGCUGUUAGUUAUAAUAACAUAAGACAAAAAAUGAUAAGUGAAAACUCAAAUUAUAAAAAACAAAGAAAACAAUUUGCUUUGCAAACAAAAACAUCAUUAAUGAAAUUUUAUGAUACACAACUUCCCUCAUUUUUUAAAGAAUAUGUAAAAAAAAAAGAAAAAAAUUAUAAAACCAUACAGGCAAAAAUUAAAAAAAUGAUGGACAAUAAAUAUAUCAAAAGGAAACAAAAAAGAGAGGAUAUACUUGCUGGUAGGAUUGUACCAGUAGACUCGACUGACCAAGGCUCUGCGCCUUCUGACCAAAAAAAAAAGAAGAAGAAAAAAAAAAAAAAAAAAAAGUAAUUGCCCCAUGAUCGAUUGAUUGAUU
rnacentral:lncRNA from 1 species